AGUGUGUGUGUGUGUGAGUGUGUGUGUGUGUGUGUUCGCGGAGGAUCCUCCAGAUGGUCUUCUCUUAACUAAGGAGUUUCUCGUGAUGGAUCCGAUCGGCAGAGGCGUGUGAGCGCUCAUGCGUGUGCGUGUUAGUCGUGUUGAUGGCCUCCGUUAUCGUCGCUCUGCUGUUGUUCGUCACACAAUCCCCUUCGCUCGCCACCGCUGACCCCCCCGCCAACGCCUCGCGCCGCCUGCCCGACAUCAUCAUCAUCGGCGUGAGGAAGGCCGGCACGCGCGCUCUCAUCGAGAUGCUGAGUCUCCACUCGGACGUCGCCGCGGCUCAGAGCGAGGUGCACUUCUUCGACUGGGACAGUCACUACCGGCGCGGCGCGGACUGGUACGUGUCCCAGAUGCCGCUCGCUCGCUCGGGUCAGCUGACGGUGGAGAAAACCCCGGCGUACUUCACCUCCGCCCGCGUUCCUGAGCGCAUCCGACGGAUGAAUCCCGACGCGCGGCUGUUGCUGAUCGUCCGCGAGCCGACCGAGCGACUGCUGUCCGAUUACACGCAGGUCUUCCACAACCGUCUGGAGAAACGCAAGCGGCAGCAGACGCUCGAGACUCUGCUGAUGCGCGACGGAGAGCUCAACCUGGACUACAAGGCCUUGAACCGCAGUCUGUAUCACGUCCACAUGCGGCGCUGGCUCGACGUGUUUCCCAGGAGCCGCGUUCAUCUGGUGGACGGAGACGCGCUGAUUAGAAACCCUCUUCCGGAGAUGAAGAAGGUGGAGGAGUUCCUUCAUCUGGAGCCGCAGAUAAACUCCUCCAACUUCUACUUCAACCAGACCAAGGGCUUCUUCUGUCUGCGCGAGCGCCGGCGCGAGCGAUGCCUGCACGGCUCUAAAGGCCGCAAGCAUCCGCGCGUGGCGCCCGCAAUCCUGCGCAAACUCCACCGCUUCUUUCACGAACCCAACCGAGAGUUCUUCCAGCUGGUCGGAAGAACCUUCGACUGGAAGUGAGAAGCGUGUGAACGAGUCAAAUAAGCUGAAAACACAGAAGAAUUGCUCCUGAACUAACUGGAACAUCUCGAAAGCCGUAACAUGAAACAACCCGUAAUGUGAUGAGUCUGUUUUCAGAGGUGAAGUGAGCUUUUCUUAUGAUUAAGAGAUUAUGAAGUUUAGUUUUUGACGAAUCGUUCACAGUAAGAUCAGGAUUAGUGGAUGUGAAUGGAGUUCGCUUUCAGAGCUGUUAACAAACCUUAUAUUCACAUAUACAGACAUAUGCAUGUGAAAUACAUCUGUUUAUACGUUAAUGCGUGACAGUAAUCAUCCAAAUACUGUUUUCCUGCUGCUAAGUUUAUGAAUGUGUGUGUGUGUGUUUGUCUUUAUAUCAGUCUGUGUUACAGAAAAGUU